UACGUAGGGGGCUAGCGUUGUCCGGAAUCAUUGGGCGUAAAGCGCGUGUAGGCGGUCCGGUAAGUCCGCUGUGAAAGUCGGGGGCUCAACCCUCGGAUGCCGGUGGAUACUGUCGGGCUUGAGUACGGAAGAGGCGAGUGGAAUUCCUGGUGUAGCGGUGAAAUGCGCAGAUAUCAGGAGGAACACCAAUUGCGAAGGCAGCUCGCUGGGACGUUACUGACGCUGAGACGCGAAAGCGUGGGGGAGCAAACAGG
rnacentral:rRNA from 1 species